GCAUAUCAAUAAGCGGAGGAAAAGAAACCAACUGGGAUUGCCUUAGUAACGGCGAGUGAAGCGGCAAAAGCUCAAAUUUGAAAUCUAGUGCCUUCGGUACUCGAGUUGUAAUUUGAAGAAUUUAUCUCCUUUCCAAACCUUUAUCUAUGUUCCUUGGAACAGGACGUCAUAGAGGGUGAGAAUCCCGUGUGAUUUUGGAUUUGGAAUUUUGUGAGAUUUAUUCGAAGAGUCGAGUUGUUUGGGAAUGCAGCUCUAAGUGGGUGGUAAGUUCCAUCUAAAGCUAAAUAUUGGCAAGAGACCGAUAGCGAACAAGUACAGUGAUGGAAAGAUGAAAAGAACUCUGAAGAGAGGGUGAAAAAGUACGUGAAAUUGCUGAAAGGGAAGGGCUUUAGGUCAGACUUGGUGUUUAAUACUCAGUUCUCCUUGUGGGAGCUGCUCUUGUUUUUCACUGGGCCAAUAUCAGUUUUGGCGAUAGAGCACCUCUGGAAAUGUAGCUAUCUUCGGAUAGUGUUAUAGUCUGGGGACGAUCUAUUGCUGGGACUGAGGUCUGCGCUUUUGCUAGGAUAUUGGCAUAAUGACCUUAAGCCGC
rnacentral:rRNA from 1 species